GAUGAACGCUGGCGGCGUGCCUAAUACAUGCAAGUCGAGCGAACGGACGAGAAGCUUGCUUCUCUGAUGUUAGCGGCGGACGGGUGAGUAACACGUGGAUAACCUACCUAUAAGACUGGGAUAAUUUCGGGAAACCGGAGCUAAUACCGGAUGAUAUUUUGAACCGCAUGGUUCAAAAGUGAAAGACGGUCUUGCUGUCACUUAUAGAUGGAUCCGCGCUGCAUUAGCUAGUUGGUAAGGUAACGGCUUACCAAGGCAACGAUGCAUAGCCGACAUGAGAGGUUAGUCGUCCGCACUUGAAUUGAGACACUGGCCGUACUCCUACGACAGGCAGCAGCAGGGAAUCUUCCGCAAUGGGCGAAAGCCUGACGGAGCCACGCCACGUGAGUUAUGAAGGUCUUCUGAUCGUAAACCGCUGUUAUUAGGAAAGAACAUAUGUGUAAGUAACUGUGCACAUCUUGACGGUACCUAAUCAGAAAGCCACGGCUAACUACGU
rnacentral:rRNA from 1 species